UACGUAGGGGGCAAGCGUUGUCCGGAAUUAUUGGGCGUAAAGAGCUCGUAGGCGGCUAGUCGCGUCGGCUGUGAAAACCUGGGGCUCAACCCCGGGCCUGCAGACGAUACGGGCUAGCUAGAAUUCGGUAGGGGAGACUGGAAUUCCUGGUGUAGCGGUGAAAUGCGCAGAUAUCAGGAGGAACACCGGUGGCGAAGGCGGGUCUCUGGGCCGAUAUUGACGCUGAGGAGCGAAAGCGUGGGGAGCGAACAGG
rnacentral:rRNA from 1 species